UCGUGCUAGACGGGGAGCUAGCGGUGCCCUGUAACCCACAACCCGCUCCAGUGGGGUCGAAUUCCCGGCCGAGGCCUCGCCUUUUCUGGUCCGGGCUGGAGGAGGAGGCGAUGAAGGUCAGGGCCCUCCACAAGGAAUCGCCUGUGAACCCCGCCAGGACCGGAAGGUAGCAACGGUAGCAGGUUUGAGACCUGGGUGUGAGGUGACCUUGCCAGAGCCGACAACUCCAGUGACGCAGGGAAGGUGGCGGUCGGAGCCGGGUGCACGA
rnacentral:SRP_RNA from 1 species